CAUGGCUACUGCUCCCGGAGCGAGGGGAGGGUCCCGGGGCAGCGCAGAGGCAUGGAGGCGCCGACGCCGGGGGGAAGACGAGGAGCUGCCCAGCUUCCUUCUCUCUCGCCUUCCCUCUGAUCUCCUGCCUCCGAGCCCGGCCGCCCCCGCCCCCGCGCCGCGCGAUCUCCGCGGACUGUCUGACGGCACCAGGAUCACCUCCAAGAAUUUGAUAAGGACUUUGCUGGGCCGCCAGCCAGUCAGAGGGAAGAUUUAUGGCUUUGAAGUUUGCCGCUACCCAAUCAUCAAAGAAUAGCGGCUCUUUCAGAAGCGAAAGCAAAUCCUUUGAAUCCACAAAGCUCCUAUGGCCCCCUUACCGCCUGGAGACCCUCGCAUUGGAUGCUCGAGACACUGGAUCCCCUCCCCCACCUUUUUUUGUUGCAAUUAAGGAUUUGUAGCAGA